AGUGAACGCUGGCGGUAGGCCUAACACAUGCAAGUCGAACGGCAGCACAGUAAGAGCUUGCUCUUACGGGUGGCGCGUGGCGGACGGGUGAGGAAUACAUCGGAAUCUACCUUUUCGUGGGGGCUAACGUAGGGAAACUUACGCUAAUACCGCAUACGACCUACGGGUGAAAGCAGGGGAUCUUCGGACCUUGCGCGAUUGAAUGAGCCGAUGUCGGAUUCGCUCGUUGGCGGGGUAAAGGCCCACCAAGGCGACGAUCCGUAGCUGGUCUGAGCGGAUGAUCAGCCACACGGGAACAGAGACACGGUCCAGACACCUACGGGAGGAAGCAGUGGGGAAUAUUGGGCAAUGGGGGAAAGCCUGAUCCAGCCCUACCGCGUGGAUGAAGAAGGCCUACGGGUUGUAAAGCCCUUUUGUUGGGAGAGAAAAGCAGCAGUUUAAUACGCCGCUGUUCUGACGGUACCCAAAGAAUAAGCACCGGCUAACUUCGUG
rnacentral:rRNA from 1 species